GUACAUCAGGUUGUUAGUUGUUAAUUCAUCACUACCGCUUCCUAGACUACUUAAUGUAGGAAGUGGGUGUUAAUAUAAAGUAUACAGUAAGGUGGGGUUAAUGAUGUUACUCUACUAUGAUUUGUUCACAUGCAAUAA